rnacentral:rRNA from 1 species
CAACCUGCCCACCACUUGGGGAUAACCUUGCGAAAGUAAGACUAAUACCCAAUGACGUCUCUANNANACAUCUGAAGGAGAUUAAAGAUUUAUCGGUGAUGGAUGGGGAUGCGUCUGAUUAGCUUGUUGGCGGGGUAACGGCCCACCAAGGCAACGAUCAGUAGGGGUUCUGAGAGGAAGGUCCCCCACAUUGGAACUGAGACACGGUCCAAACUCCUACGGGAGGCAGCAGUGAGGAAUAUUGGUCAAUGGGCGAGAGCCUGAACCAGCCAAGUAGCGUGCAGGAAGACGGCCCUAUGGGUUGUAAACUGCUUUUAUAAGGGAAUAAAGUGAGUCUCGUGAGACUUUUUGCAUGUACCUUAUGAAUAAGGACCGGCUAAUUCCGUGCCAGCAGCCGCGGUAAUACGGAAGGUCCGGGCGUUAUCCGGAUUUAUUGGGUUUAAAGGGAGCGUAGGCCGGAGAUUAAGCGUGUUGUGAAAUGUAGACGCUCAACGUCUGCACUGCAGCGCGAACUGGUUUCCUUGAGUACGCACAAAGUGGGCGGAAUUCGUGGUGUAGCGGUGAAAUGCUUAGAUAUCACGAAGAACUCCGAUUG